AAGAGAGAGGGUUCUAAUGGAGCAAAUUUGAAAGAGCUCAGUCUCAGUCUCUCUCAAUCGUCUCAUCGAAAAAGGGGUUUCGAAACCACCACAGUCAAGAGUUGUUGAUUGGACAAAGGCAGAUUAAGCUGCUUGUGAAACUCUGUCAAACCCUCACUGAGAUAAGUUUGUUUUCUUUUAGAAUUAAUUUCACCUUUUAUCACUUAAACUAUCACCAUUUGUUCUAUUUCAUCUCUAAACUAUCAAUUUCAUAUAUCUGUUUAGUUCUUACAUUUUCUUUUUCGUCACUAGGCUUUUGGAUUACUUGAAGAAUGAGAUUGAUGUCACUGAUUAUUAUAUUAUAAUCUCUUCGUUAGAAUUUGUUCUUUUUUACUUGAUCUCUUUGUUAGAAUUUAUUUGGUCUCUAAACAUCAUUUAUUCAUCUUUAUGUAUAUGUUUAAGGUUUUCCCUCAAAUCUCUCUCUUUCUCUCUCUCCCUCUCUGUUUAUUUACUUAUACAAGUUUGUGUUGAAAUGUUGAUUACUCUUAAUUAGCCUUUGUGAAGUGGGUUUUUGAUCAACAUUGUGCCUAAUUGCUGAAUUUGUGAGAAAUUUAUGUGUUUUUGUGUUGUUUUAUUGUAUAAAGUGUUCAUCAACUUAGUAGCCAAAGCAAUCUAGUUAUCUAUCCCAGCAAUCUUUUGGGUGUUGUGGAAAUUUAGAAAUGAAAUGGUUUUCAAUGGUGAGAUAAGCGAGUGGGAUCAGAUUUCACAAAAAAUAAAAAAAUAAAAAAUUAUGUGGCUUUUUGGGUGAAAGCAAAACCACUUUUCAAGGAAUUCUCAAUGAGCAACUUUAUUUUUAACUUCCAUAACAUUAGAGCUUGUAUUUGAGAUUAGGUGUUGGAAGUGGGUGGGUUGAUUGUGUUUUGGUUUUUAUUUAUUAUUAUCCUUUCCAUGCCUUAGUUUUAAUGAGUUCUUGAUGGACAUGAAGCAAUUCCGCCAACUUUGAGAUAUAUUUUGAUAGAUAAACAUGUCCUAUGUUCAAAAGAAAAUGAUUAUUUAUAAUGUGGUCUUAAUUCUAAUCUUUUAUCUCUUUAUAAUGUAGGCACAUUAUGUGCUAUUGCUCUAUUCUUUUAAAGAACAGCUGCAACAACAUGUUUGUGUACACGCAAUGGAAGUAGUAAUGGCUUGCUGGGAGAUUGAGCAGUCCCUACAAAGCUUAACAGGCAAUUACAUUUCAAAGGCAAUGAAAGAAGAAGUGUUAUAUGGUUUGAAAUUCAGCGAAGGAAGAUCGUAUCCCCCACUGAAUCAUCUCUUUCCUGCACCGGAUUUUUGAGGUAGUUGUUUUCAUGUUCUAUCUUAAUAUAUAUUUAACCCUAUUUUUAUUAGUGUUGUAAGAGAUGUUCUUUUUUGUAUUGUAUU